AUUUCAGUCUCCUGAGAAUGACAGUGGAAAGUUGAUGUUCGCAGAAGUCAAGUAACAUGUCUCAGGCUAGUGGAAAAGACGACUGUGCUGGUGGAUGCUGUUAAAGUCAACAAGGAAAAAAGUAUCAUGUAGAGU